rnacentral:rRNA from 1 species
UACGGAGGGUGCGAGCGUUGUCCGGAAUCACUGGGCGUAAAGGGCGCGUAGGCGGCCUGAUAAGUAGGGGGUGAAAUCCUGCGGCUUAACCGCAGGGCUGCCUUCUAAACUGUCAGGCUCGAGCACAGUAGAGGCAGGUGGAAUUCCCGGUGUAGCGGUGGAAUGCGUAGAGAUCGGGAAGAACAUCAGUGGCGAAGGCGGCCUGCUGGGCUGUUGCUGACGCUGAGGCGCGACAGCGUGGGGAGCAAAACAGG